AUGGAAGCUGCUGAUCUUACACAACUAGAAGAGAUUUUCACCGAGGCGGAAGUUUGGAAGGUCAUUAAGGGCAUCCCCCCGGACCGUGCACCGGGACCUGAUGGCUUUAUUGGUGCAUUUCACCAGAAGGCAUGGGCGGUGAUCAAGCCGGAUAUCAUGGCGGCGAUGCUCAAACUAUAUGUUGGAGAUGGCAGGGGAUUUGGCAAGAUCAACAAGGCACACAUAGUGCUCAUUCCCAAAAAGGCGGAUGCCAAAACGGUUGGAGAUUUUCGCCUCAUUAGUCUACCUCACAGCUUCUCCAAGCUAUUCACCAAAGUGCUUGCUACUAGAGCACGAGCAAGGAUGCCUGAGAUUGUCAGCGUUAACCAGGCGACGUUCAUCAAAGGUCGAUGCAUCCAUGAUAACUACCUGUUAGUGCGGCAGGUGGCACGCAAAGUUUUCAAAAGCAAGGAGCAUGGACUGUUUCUCAAGCUCGACAUCUCUCGCGCGUUUGAUUCACUCUCCUGGCCUUUCCUCUUCGAAGUCAUGAGAGCUAAAGGCUUUGGACCACGCUAGCUACAUUGGGUAGCCACAAUUCUUGCCACAUCCAGCACCAAGGCUAUAGUCAAUGGUGUACCUGGACGUACCAUCUAUCAUGCUCAGGGGCUGAGACAAGGAGACCCAAUCUCCUCGCUUCUAUUCGUGGUGGCCAUGGAUGCACUCUCGAAACUCUUUGUCAAAGCCUCUGUGUUGGGAGUCAUUAGCAACUUGUGUGGAAUAACACCUACCCAGAGGCUCUCUCUUUACGCGGAUGACGUGGUCUUAUUCAUUAAGCCUUCGGUGCAAGAUUUGACCUUUGUGCGGACUGCACUCGAGCUUUUUGGUGAAGCCGCUGGGCUGCGCAUCAACUAUAACAAAACCACGGCUGUGCUUAUCAGAGGAACGGAUGAAGAAAGACAACGUGUGAUGGACCUGCUACACUGCGAGAUGGGACACUUCCCAUGCAAGUACCUGGGCAUACAAUUGGUGAUCCGGAAACUGACUCGGGCUGAUUGGCAACCGUUGCUCGACCAAACCAAAAAACUGCUACCAACCUGGCAACGCGGCCUCAUGCAGAAACCCGGACGGCUCGUCUUGGAAUAAUCUAUUAUGACUUUGUGUGCUGUAAGGGUUGAUGUAGUAUUUGCUCCUCCUUUUUAA
rnacentral:rRNA from 1 species